UACGGAGGAUGCAAGCGUUAUCCGGAAUGAUUGGGCGUAAAGCGUCCGCAGGUGGCUGUGUAAGUCUGCUGUCAAAGAGCGAAGCUCAACUUCGUAAAGGCAGUGGAAACUACACGGCUAGAGUGCGUUCGGGGCAGAGGGAAUUCCUGGUGUAGCGGUGAAAUGCGUGGAGAUCAGGAAGAACACCGGUGGCGAAGGCGCUCUGCUAGGCCGCAACUGACACUGAGGGACGAAAGCUAGGGGAGCGAAUGGG
rnacentral:rRNA from 1 species